rnacentral:rRNA from 1 species
UACGUAGGCAGCGAGCGUUGUUCGGAGUUACUGGGCGUAAAGCGUGCGUAGGCGGUUUUGUAAGUUUGGUGUGAAAUCUCCCGGCUCAACUGGGAGGGUGCGCCGAAAACUGCAAGGCUGGAGUGUGGGAGAGGUAGGCGGAAUUCCUGGUGUAGCGGUGAAAUGCGUAGAUAUCAGGAAGAACAUCGGUGGCGAAGGCGCUCUGCUGGACCAUAACUGACACUCAGGGACGAAAGCUAGGGGAGCGAAUGGG